GAGAGUUUAGUUGAGUGGUUUAACGCCGUCUUUACACGACGGAUACAGGGGUUCGAUUCCUCUAACUCUUA
rnacentral:tRNA from 1 species